rnacentral:rRNA from 1 species
CCCUGUUAUUUUAUAAAUAUAAAAAUAUCCUAAGAAAUUAUAAAUCAAAAAAUUUUGACGGUAUUAAUAUUUUUAAAGGAGUUUGUUUUUUAAUAGAUAAUUCGCGAUUAACCUUACUUAAAAUUAAUUUGUAUAUCACCGUUUAGAUUUUGAGUUGAUAAGAUUCAAGAAGAAAAUUCUCUUAAUAUCAGGUCAAAAUGCAAUUUUUUUAAGAUAAAAUGAACUACAUUAAUUUAAUAUUUACGAAUUAUUUUUUGAAAUAUAAAUAUGAAGAUGGAUUUAUUAGUAAAUAUAAAAUAAAUUAUUAUAUUGAAAUUUAUUAUUAAUAUGUACAUAUCGCCCG